rnacentral:rRNA from 1 species
CCUGGCUCAGGAUGAACGCUAGCUACAGGCUUAACACAUGCAAGUCGAGGGGCAGCAUGAACUUAGCUUGCUAAGUUUGAUGGCGACCGGCGCACGGGUGAGUAACACGUAUCCAACCUGCCGAUGACUCGGGGAUAGCCUUUCGAAAGAAAGAUUAAUACCCGAUGGCAUAGUUCUUCCGCAUGGUAGGACUAUUAAAGAAUUUCGGUCAUCGAUGGGGAUGCGUUCCAUUAGGUUGUUGGCGGGGUAACGGCCCACCAAGCCUUCGAUGGAUAGGGGUUCUGAGAGGAAGGUCCCCCACAUUGGAACUGAGACACGGUCCAAACUCCUACGGGAGGCAGCAGUGAGGAAUAUUGGUCAAUGGACGAGAGUCUGAACCAGCCAAGUAGCGUGAAGGAUGACUGCCCUAUGGGUUGUAAACUUCUUUUAUACGGGAAUAAAGUGAGGCACGUGUGCCUUUUUGUAUGUACCGUAUGAAUAAGGAUCGGCUAACUCCGUGCCAGCAGCCGCGGUAAUACGGAGGAUCCGAGCGUUAUCCGGAUUUAUUGGGUUUAAAGGGAGCGUAGGCGGACGCUUAAGUCAGUUGUGAAAGUUUGCGGCUCAACCGUAAAAUUGCAGUUGAUACUGGGUGUCUUGAGUACAGUAGAGGCAGGCGGAAUUCGUGGUGUAGCGGUGAAAUGCUUAGAUAUCACGAAGAACUCCGAUUGCGAAGGCAGCCUGCUGGACUGUAACUGACGCUGAUGCUCGAAAGUGUGGGUAUCAAACAGGAUUAGAUACCCUGGUAGUCCACACAGUAAACGAUGAAUACUCGCUGUUUGCGAUAUACAGUAAGCGGCCAAGCGAAAGCGUUAAGUAUUCCACCUGGGGAGUACGCCGGCAACGGUGAAACUCAAAGGAAUUGACGGGGGCCCGCACAAGCGGAGGAACAUGUGGUUUAAUUCGAUGAUACGCGAGGAACCUUACCCGGGCUUGAAUUGCAACUGAAUGAUGUGGAGACAUGUCAGCCGCAAGGCAGUUGUGAAGGUGCUGCAUGGUUGUCGUCAGCUCGUGCCGUGAGGUGUCGGCUUAAGCGCCAUAACGAGCGCAACCCUUAUCGAUAGUUACCAUCAGGUGAUGCUGGGGACUCUGUCGAGACUGCCGUCGUAAGAUGUGAGGAAGGUGGGGAUGACGUCAAAUCAGCACGGCCCUUACGUCCGGGGCUACACACGUGUUACAAUGGGGGGUACAGAAGGCAGCUACACGGCGACGUGAUGCUAAUCCCGAAAGCCUCUCUCAGUUCGGAUUGGAGUCUGCAACCCGACUCCAUGAAGCUGGAUUCGCUAGUAAUCGCGCAUCAGCCACGGCGCGGUGAAUACGUUCCCGGGCCUUGCACACACCGCCC